AGAGUUUGAUCCUGGCUCAGAUUGAACGCUGGCGGCGUGCCUAACACAUGCAAGUCGAGCGGUAACAGGUGUAGCAAUACAUGCUGACGAGCGGCGAACGGGUGAGUAAUGCUUUGGAAUCUUCCCAGUAGUGGGGAAUAACCAGUCGAAAGAUUGGCUAAUACCGCAUACGUCUGUAAAGGGAAAGCGGGGGCUCGUAAGACCUCGCGCUAUUGGAUGAGCCAAAGUCGGAUUAGCUAGUUGGUGGGGUAAUAGCCUACCAAGGCGACAAUCCGUAGCUGGUCUGAGAGGACGACCAGCCACACCGGAACUGAGACACGGUCCGGACUCCUACGGGAGGCAGCAGUGGGGAAUAUUGCACAAUGGGCGCAAGCCUGAUGCAGCGACGCCGCGUGAGGGAUGACGGCCUUCGGGUUGUACACCUCUUUCAGUAGGGACGAAGCG
rnacentral:rRNA from 1 species